rnacentral:rRNA from 1 species
GACGAACACUGGCGGCGUGCUUAACACAUGCAAGUCGAACGGAAAGGCCCUGCUUUUGUGGGGUGCUCGAGUGGCGAACGGGUGAGUAACACGUGAGUAACCUGCCCUUGACUUUGGGAUAACUUCAGGAAACUGGGGCUAAUACCGGAUAGGAGCUCCUGCUGCAUGGGGGGGGUUGGAAAGUUUCGGCGGUUGGGGAUGGACUCGCGGCUUAUCAGCUUGUUGGUGGGGUAGUGGCUUACCAAGGCUUUGACGGGUAGCCGGCCUGAGAGGGUGACCGGCCACAUUGGGACUGAGAUACGGCCCAGACUCCUACGGGAGGCAGCAGUGGGGAAUAUUGCACAAUGGGCGGAAGCCUGAUGCAGCAACGCCGCGUGCGGGAUGACGGCCUUCGGGUUGUAAACCGCUUUCGCCUGUGACGAAGCGUGAGUGACGGUAAUGGGUAAAGAAGCACCGGCUAACUACGUG